GUCACUUUGCCGGAGUGGUUAACGGGAUCGCCUGCUACCUUUGAAGUAGUUGAUUAGCGGUUGGUCUUUGACCGCGAGUGUUCGAAUCGCUCAGGUGACG